rnacentral:rRNA from 1 species
UGCAGUCGAACGCACGAAGUUGAAGAGCUUGCUCUUUAACCAAGUGAGUGGCGGACGGGUGAGUAACACGUGGGUAACCUGCCCAUUAGAGGGGGAUAACAUUCGGAAACGGAUGCUAAUACCGCAUAGUUUCAGGAAUCGCAUGAUUCUUGAAGGAAAGGUGGCUUCGGCUACCACUAAUGGAUGGACCCGCGGCGUAUUAGCUAGUUGGUGAGGUAAUGGCUCACCAAGGCAAUGAUACGUAGCCGACCUGAGAGGGUGAUCGGCCACACUGGGACUGAGACACGGCCCAGACUCCUACGGGAGGCAGCAGUAGGGAAUCUUCCGCAAUGGACGAAAGUCUGACGGAGCAACGCCGCGUGAGUGAAGAAGGUUUUCGGAUCGUAAAACUCUGUUGUUAAAGAAGAACAAGGAUGAGAGUAACUGCUCAUCCCCUGACGGUAUUUAACCAGAAAGCCACGGCUAACUACGUGCCAGCAGCCGCGGUAAUACGUAGGUGGCAAGCGUUGUCCGGAUUUAUUGGGCGUAAAGCGAGCGCAGGCGGUUCUUUAAGUCUGAUGUGAAAGCCCCCGGCUCAACCGGGGAGGGUCAUUGGAAACUGGAGAACUUGAGUGCAGAAGAGGAGAGUGGAAUUCCACGUGUAGCGGUGAAAUGCGUAGAUAUGUGGAGGAACACCAGUGGCGAAGGCGACUCUCUGGUCUGUAACUGACGCUGAGGCUCGAAAGCGUGGGGAGCAAACAGGAUUAGUCCCCG